rnacentral:rRNA from 1 species
UACCAGCACCCCGAGUGGUCGGGACGAUUAUUGGGCCUAAAGCAUCCGUAGCCGGUCCUACAAGUCUUCCGUUAAAUCCACCUGCUUAACAGAUGGGCUGCGGAAGAUACUAUAGGGCUAGGAGGCGGGAGAGGCAAGCGGUACUUAGUGGGUAGGGGUAAAAUCCGUUGAUCCAUUGAAGACCACCAGUGGCGAAGGCGGCUUGCCAGAACGCACUCGACGGUGAGGGAUGAAAGCUGGGGGAGCAAACCGG